UACGUAGGGUGCAAGCGUUGUCCGGAUUUAUUGGGCGUAAAGAGCUCGUAGGCGGUUUGGCAAGUCAGGUGUGAAAACUUCAGGCUCAACCUGGAGAUGCCACCUGAUACUGCUAUGACUUGAGUCUGGUAGGGGAUCACGGAAUUCCUGGUGUAGCGGUGAAAUGCGCAGAUAUCAGGAGGAACACCGGUGGCGAAGGCGGUGAUCUGGGCCAGUACUGACGCUGAGGAGCGAAAGCGUGGGUAGCAAACAGG
rnacentral:rRNA from 1 species